GAUCAGCCCACUCCGGCCUCCCCCGGCGGAGGCAGACACCCAGCGGCUGAGCGUCCGCACAGCUGGAUGGGGCUGUUGUUGCAGCGUGCGCACAGCAGCUGCACGCAAACAGCUGGGAACACACAGUGACUGACGGGGGGAUGAAUCCACGGGUCCUAAGAUCCGCCAUGUUCCUGCACCAUGCGCCAUGCAACCUGCCAUCACUGAGGAUGGACCCUACAGCUUCAUGUUGCACAGUGCCUCAUCGUGCAUGUAGAGAUUUAAAGUUUACAACCAUAGGUGACUCGUUGUUAUCAAGUCUUCUGCACUGUGCAAGUGGAAAUUAACAGGAAGUCAAUUCAAGGGGUAAAUGUGAAGCUAGCGCCUCUAGUGGCCAUAUUCCUCCCUCUAUUAUCCAAUUGUAAAAAGGGAGUCUGAGUAAUUAGUGAAGAUAAGCAGAGGUCAUAUCUGACAGCGGAGGCUAACGAUUUAAUCUCAGCCCACAGAACAUGCUGUAUGCACAUAACCCAUCAACCAGGGUCGACAAAAUUAAUUUCAGCCCCAAUAUAUGUUUAAACUUUGUGUCUCUGAGGGAUUGUUGCAGGCAGAUAUUUACAUGUCAGGGCUGGCUGGUGGAUUAUACUGUAGUGUCACACUGAGCGACAGAUCGUGGAGACCGGAUUUCCUCAAGAGUAAAACAGGCAUUGUGUUCCUGGAUUAGACAUUUUGUCUGUCGCAGUGCAUGUUGGUUGAAAAUAGUGCAAGCAUAACGAUCCUCUGUUGUUUUUUGUGUUUUUUGUCGUUUUGACAUUUCAGAGCCUUAACAACGUCCCUCUAAAGUACAUUCUUUUAGCUUGAUAUGAGUAGUAUCAGUCGUUUCAUGUAACUGGUACACAUGUGUUGUGCACAGAAGGUGUUUGAGGUCAAAGUCACCAGCAGGGGUCAAAUCAAGGUAACUGGUGGUGUUGAGGAAUCGUGAAACAGUGAAACAAUAGAUUGGCACGUCUCUGUAGUGUUGUCUGUUGUCUGCUUGUUACAAUUUGUGUCCGAUAUGGUUUUCCAACCAAAAGCUUUAUGAAACUAGAAUUAUUUUGCAUACGAUACAUAUUGGACAACUACUGGUUUCGGUUGUAAUGUCACAAAAUCAGGCUCCUCCUUAAACUUAGAUGUAAGGUGAAGGUCGAGGAACUUUCCCCGUUCAGCAGGUGGUAAUGUCUGACUCUGCACGUGCACAUACAAUGAUGCAUGGGCACAGUAGAACAUCCAAGUGAAGUAACAAUAUCUGGACGAUCCUCAGUCCAGAUACUGACCAUGAAACUUUCUUUUUUUAUUAGAAUAAUUUUAUCAUUUUGGGCAGUGUGACAGAAAAAGUACAGCAUCAUAUGACACAAUCAAACCACACCCUUUAUAAUCCAAAUUCCCAAUCCACCCUUCCCUGCACGAUGGCACAUAGUGACACAAGUAAAAUAAUUACAGAUAGAGUAGAAAAUGUACAAAUAAAAAGCAAUAACAAAAGAAAUUACUGUUCAAGUAUACCUGAAAACCAAAUCAAGAAAUAUUUCAACCUUAUUUGCAUGGAGCCUUUCACACAUAUUUGGGCAGUUGAGUGAAAACCGAGGCAAACACUGGAGGCUAAGUCUGUCCACACUGCUUCCCCUUAUUUAUAUUUAAUAGGCACACAUAGAGAAGUGGUGCAGCCAUUGUUGUCUGCUGUAGAGUACAGUCCACGUUCACCCGCCGAGAGGCAACUGUUCCUGUUAGUUCUCUGAUAACAAAUUCAUCAGACACUACAACAUAUCUCCCUUUGCUGUGAGUGCUUAUCCUCACACAUCACUGGACGGUUGUCACUGAGAUGGAUCACAGAGAGGACACACGAUGACGUACUGCAGUGGUAACUGAGGACAGACGAUAAUGUAAUAUACUGUGCGACUAUACACACGCUCUGAUUAUGACACAGGGUUAAAUAUCCUCACUCUACACUAAAGGAGUAUGAGGAUGGAUUGCAUUUCAGUAGAUGAACAACAGCUGACAAUCCUGGCAGGCCUGUGUCAGCAUGAGUCAGCCUCUGUGAAUAAAAUGCAAUUCAUUGUGGUACGGAAACCACAACUUCUUUCUUUUUUGGGGGUUGGUUUAUUUAUCUAUUUUGUGACAAUGUUUUUGCGCAGCACAAUAAAUUACUUUCAGCUAUGU